UACGUAGGGGGCAAGCGUUGUCCGGAUUUAUUGGGCGUAAAGAGCGUGUAGGCGGUUUGGUAGGUCCGCUGUGAAAACUCGAGGCUCAACCUCGAGACGCCGGUGGAAACCAUCAGACUAGAGUCCGGAAGAGGAGAGUGGAAUUCCUGGUGUAGCGGUGAAAUGCGCAGAUAUCAGGAAGAACACCCGUGGCUAAGGCGGCUCUCUAGUACGGUACUGACGCUGGGACGCGAAAGCGUGGGGAGCGAACAGG
rnacentral:rRNA from 1 species